CCUGACAGUGAAACCUCGUCCCAUGAGGUCGAUGGCCAGGUAUCAAUAUUCCGGAGGGAAUAGAGACUUGUUGCUGCGGGAACCGGUUCAGGCCCGGAAGGGAGCAGACUUACCGUAGACAUCCGGCGCCCAUGGGGUAACGGGGCAGAGGAUGGAUACUUUGGUGAACGGAGAAACGUACAGUCGACCGAAAACACGUCCCCAU
rnacentral:SRP_RNA from 1 species